UACGAAGGGGGCUAGCGUUGCUCGGAAUUAUUGGGCGUAAAGCGCGUGUAGGCGGCUUGUUAAGUUGGUCGUGAAAGCCCAUGGCUCAACCAUGGAAGUGCAACCAAAACUGGCAAGCUUGAGUUCUGAAGAGGAUGGCGGAAUUCCCAGUGUAGAGGUGAAAUUCGUAGAUAUUGGGAGGAACAUCGGUGGCGAAGGCGGCCAUCUGGGAAGAUACUGACGCUGAGACGCGAAAGCGUGGGUAGCAAACAGG
rnacentral:rRNA from 1 species